AUGAACGCUGGCGGCGUGCCUAAUACAUGCAAGUCGCGCGAACAGACGAGGAGCUUGCUCCUCUGACGUUAGCGGCGGACGGGUGAGUAACACGUGGAUAACCUACCUAUAAGACUGGGAUAACUUCGGGAAACCGGAGCUAAUACCGGAUAAUAUAUUGAACCGCAUGGUUCAAUAGUGAAAGACGGUUUUGCUGUCACUUAUAGAUGGAUCCGCGCCGCAUUAGCUAGUUGGUAAGGUAACGGCUUACCAAGGCGACGAUGCGUAGCCGACCUGAGAGGGUGAUCGGCCACACUGGAACUGAGACACGGUCCAGACUCCUACGGGAGGCAGCAGUAGGGAAUCUUCCGCAAUGGGCGAAAGCCUGACGGAGCAACGCCGCGUGAGUGAUGAAGGUCUUCGGAUCGUAAAACUCUGUUAUUAGGGAAGAACAAAUGUGUAAGUAACUAUGCACGUCUUGACGGUACCUAAUCAGAAAGCCACGGCUAACUACGU
rnacentral:rRNA from 1 species